GGGAGUGUAUGCAAGCGGCGAAGCAGGCUGGCCGUAACCCAGUCACACCACGCGGGGGUUCGAGUCCCUCCGCUCCCA
rnacentral:tRNA from 1 species